rnacentral:rRNA from 1 species
UACGGAAGGCAGCAGUGGGGAAUAUUGCACAAUGGGCGAAAGCCUGAUGCAGCUAUGCCGCGUGUAUGAAGAAGGCCUUAGGGUUGUAAAGUACUUUCAUCGGGGAGGAAAAAACAAAACUAAUAAUUUUAUUUCUUGACGUUACCCGAAAAAGAAGCACCGGCUAACUCCGUGCCAGCAGCCGCGGUAAUACGGAGGGUGUUAGCGUUAAUCAGAAUUACUGGGCGUAAAGAGCACGUAGGUGGUUUUUUUAAGUCAGAUGUGAAAUCCCUGGGCUUAACCUAGGAACUGCAUUUUGAAACUGAAAUACUAGAGUAUCGUAGAGGGAGGUAGAAUUCUAGGUGUAGCGGUGAAAUGCGUAGAUAUCUGGAGGAAUACCUGUGGCGAAAGCGGCCUCCUAAACGAAUACUGACACUGAGGGUGCGAAAGCGUGGGGAGCAAACAGGGAUUAGAUACC